rnacentral:rRNA from 1 species
GACGAACCGUGCGAACGUUAUUCGGAAUCACUGGGCUUAAAGGGCGCGUAGGCGGGCCGCCAAGUCAGAGGUGAAAGCCCCCAGCUCAACUGGGGAAGUGCCUUUGAUACUGGCGGUCUCGAGGGAGAUAGGGGCGUGCGGAACUUCCGGUGGAGCGGUGAAAUGCGUAGAUAUCGGAAGGAACACCGGUGGCGAAAGCGGCGCGCUGGAUCUCUUCUGACGCUGAGGCGCGAAAGCCAGGGGAGCGAACGGG